rnacentral:ncRNA from 16 species
AAACCAGGUGGAAGGCUAUGACCCGCAGUCCGUAACUGGGCGUCUGGAGCGCGGGGAGCCAGUGACGCAACCGGCCGCUGCAGA